rnacentral:rRNA from 1 species
UACGUAGGUGGCAAGCGUUGUCCGGAAUUAUUGGGCGUAAAGCGCGCGCAGGCGGUCCUUUAAGUCUGAUGUGAAAUGCCCCGGCUCACCCGGGGACCGGCAUCUCAUACUGCUUGGCUUGAGUACGGGAGAAGAUGUGGGAAUUCCUGGUGUAGCGGUGAAAUGCGUAGAUAUCAGGAGGAACACCGGUGGCGAAGGCGCACAUCUGGCCCGAUACUGACGCUGAGGCGCGAAAGCUAGGGGAGCAAACGGG